UUGUCGGUGUGUGUGUGUGUCUGUGCGAGAGAGAGCGAGCAGGAAGUCAGGGCAGUCAGACAGAGAGCCGGCUCACUUCCUUUCCUGCAUUAUUCCCCAGGCGGUUUGCAGUCUGUGUAAACAGCCCUUUCCUCCCCUCGCCCCUCUCUCCGGCCGCCGCCGCGCAGCACGGCCGUAGCGCCGGGCGCUCGCAUGGCGCAGCCCUCGCGGCACCUCCGAGCCCUCACCGGGAGCCCCGGCGGCUCCCCGACCUCCACCUCUUCCUGCGCUACACCCCCGGGGAGGAGCCUCCCGCCGCCGGGACCGCGGCCCUCCGGCACGGCCCCGCAGUCACAAGAGUUACCAUUCAAGCAACGCAGCUCCAAAUGUUGUCAACGUGAAGUGACAUAGAAGCCGUGAUUAUUCUUUGCCUCCCUAAUGGCUUGUUCCUUGCAAUGUCACUGGGAACAAAACUAUGCUCCGAUGAGAUUAAAAAGCUCGUCGCAGUUGGCCACCAAGCAUGAGCCAAUAGCUUCCGAACAGCUGGCAGUGAGCAGACUGGUGGGAGUCUAUGGAAAUUGGAUUACAAGCUCUGUAGUGAAGAGGUUUCGCAUUUGUAUUGGCCUUUCUCACAUCUGCCACUGUAAGUUGUUUGGCAAAAUCAGAAGUAACCAUUCUUCGCUCUUAUUUUCUAGUAGUUCUGGCUUGAAUAACCACCUGCCAGGUUGCAGGAGGAUUUCCGGGGGAUUUUGGAAGGUGGUUAUACAGAACCUGAUCACCUGAGUUGGAACAACAGCCUAAUUCAUGCAGGAUUUUGGGUUGCCCUCCACAACAUAGCUAUUUCAAGGCCUUGCAAAUGUCGCAUCAAAAUUGAUGAAUGUUCCUCUAGCAGGUUUGGCUUCUCUCUUUCACACUUCCCUGUAGCUGGACAAACAUGAGUUUCAGAGCCAACAACUUCAUUAUUGCAAAAAGUCCCGGGGGAUCCGUUCUGCUCACAAAGUGGCCUGGUCUUCAGCUUUAUCUCAUCUCGCAGGCAGCUUCACUGGCAAGCAGAGCCAGUCUGCAAUACUGUACAGUGCUAGCUCCAGGGUGUAGCACUGGCUCUAAACCCACGGAAACUCAAAAGAAGGCACUGCACAUUGCUCCACUUCAAGCAUUAUUCCUUCCUGGGCAUUUUGCUGAGCUGUCCUGAGUAAAACUGUG
rnacentral:lncRNA from 1 species